rnacentral:rRNA from 1 species
AUACGUAGGGGGCAAGCGUUAUCCGGAAUUAUUGGGCGUAAAGAGUGCGUAGGUGGUUACCUAAGCAGGGGGUGAAAGGCACUGGCUUAACCAAUGUCAGCCCCCUGAACUGGGCUACUUGAGUGCAGGAGAGGAAAGUGGAAUUCCUAGUGUAGCGGUGAAAUGCGUAGAUAUUAGGAGGAACACCAGUGGCGAAGGCGACUUUCUGGACUGUUACUGACACUGAGGCACGAAAGUGUGGGGAGCAAACAGGAUUAGAUACCCUGGUAGUCCACACCGUAAACGAUGAGCACUAGGUGUCGGGGAAGCAAUUCCUCGGUGCCGCAGUUAACGCAUUAAGUGCUCCGCCUGGGGAGUACGUACGCAAGUAUGAAACUCAAAUGAAUUGACGGGG